rnacentral:rRNA from 1 species
UGGGGAAUAUUGCGCAAUGGACGAAAGUCUGACGCAGCGACGCCGCGUGUGGGAGGAAGCUCUUCGGGGUGUAAACCACUGUCAGGAGGGAAGAACGGCGCCGGUUCGAAUAGUUCCGGCGAUUGGCGGUACCUCCAAAGGAAGCGCCGGCUAACUCCGUGCCAGCAGCCGCGGUAAGACGGAGGGCGCAAGCGUUGUUCGGAAUUACUGGGCGUAAAGCGCGGGCAGGUGGUCUGUUAAGUCGUUUGUGAAAAUCCGGGGCUCAACCCCGCGAAAUGCAUACGAUACUGGCAGACUGGAGACUGGUAGAGGCUAGCGGAAUUCCUGGUGUAGCGGUGGAAUGCGUAGAUAUCAGGAAGAACACCUGUGGCGAAGGCGGCUAGCUGGGCCAGAUCUGACACUCAUCCGCGAAAGCGUGGGGAGCAAACAGGAUUAGAUACCCGUGUAGUCCCUGAGCGGGCUGGCAAGGCGCAU